UUUCUUUUCACUCACUCUCCUCUUUAGUCUUUUCUCUUCUUCUUCAAUCGAUUAUCCAAUUGAAUCGACUAUCAAAUUAUUUUUCGAACCGUACGAGAUCUUUGUUUCGAGUACGCGUUUUUUUGUACCUUCGCUUGUCUGCUCUUCUGUAAUUUUGGAUUCAUUUUUUGUUUCUACCAGAUUCGAGCUGAUCUAGUCGCAGGAGGAAGAACAAGAGGUUAUUGAGUCGGCUCCUGCUAUCCAACUCGGAGAAGAGAAGAAAGAGUUCUUAGCUUGAGAGAUUGUGUGCUAAGAACUUAUUGAUAUCAUAAAAGUGGAGCAUCGUGGUGAAUACUUGAAGAGAGAAGAAAAGGAAGAUGAUGAAGCGAAGAGAGAGGCCCGUG